rnacentral:rRNA from 1 species
UACAUGGGGUGCAAGCGUUGCUCGGAAUCAUUGGGCGUAAAGCGCGCGUAGGCGGUUACUUAUGUCGGAUGUGAAAGCCCUCGGCUUAACUGAGGAAGUGCACCCGAAACUGAGUAGCUAGAGUACGAAAGAGGGUCGCGGAAUUCCCGGUGUAGAGGUGAAAUUCGUAGAUAUCGGGAGGAACACCGGUGGCGAAGGCGGCGACCUGGGUCGAGACUGACGCUGAGGCGCGAAAGCGUGGGGAGCAAACAGG